rnacentral:rRNA from 1 species
UACGUAGGGUGCAAGCGUUAAUCGGAAUUACUGGGCGUAAAGCGCGCGUAGGCGGCUUUGUAAGUUAGAGGUGAAAGCCCGGAGCUCAACUUCGGAAUUGCCUUUAAGACUGCAUCGCUUGAAUCAUGGAGAGGUCAGUGGAAUUCCGAGUGUAGAGGUGAAAUUCGUAGAUAUUCGGAAGAACACCAGUGGCGAAGGCGACUGACUGGACAUGUAUUGACGCUGAGGUGCGAAAGCGUGGGGAGCAAACAGG